AAGAGAGAUCAAGAUGAACGAGGGUGGUAGUAAAGUUGAACAGCCAUGGGUAUAUUGAAGAAUCAUAAUCGUUGUCAGAGAGAUCAAGGAAAGCAAGAGGGGCAGAGGAAUUAACAGGGGAAAAAGACGGAGUAGUGAGGGGUGGGAGGCUACAACAUGGUAAGUUUAAGUGAAUGAGAGAAGGGAGUUUAUUAAUUGCUUGUGACUAGUGGAUGGCUUUACUAAGGUUAACAUACUUCAAGUCAAGGUGUCUUAAAGACGAAAGAUGAGAAAGCCACUCAAGAUUUCCACAAUUCAAAUCAUAAUUAUAGCUGAGAUCAAGGGAAAGCAAGUUGGAAAGAUUUCCGAAAUGGCUGGGAAGACGUCCAGUGAAAUUGGCAUAAGAGAGACUGAGGUGUUGGAUUUUGGUGAGAGAAGCAAGGAAUGGAGGUAUGGGUCUCCCUUCAAAAUCAUUAGAGCUCAGAUCAAGGGAAAGCAAGUUGGAAAGAUUUCCGAGUUGGCUGGGAAGACGUCCAGUGAAAUUGGCAUAAGAAAGAUUGAGGUAUUGGAUUUUGGAGAGAGAAGCAACGAAUGGAGGUAUGUGACUCCUUUCAAAAUCAUUACAGCUGAGAUCCAAAUGAGUCAAGUGCUCCAACUCAAGCAGUGAAGGGCUUAUCUCACCUCUUAGAGACUGGAACUUAUGCACAUAUUCAUCCUCAAAUUCAGUUGGCGGUGCAGGAAGAUGAAGCAUGACGAUGUGACCUGACUGGUUGCUACACCGGACUCCUCUCCAUUGGCAACAAUCUCUUGUGUCCCAAGAAGACAAAAUGCCAUAGUCAUCCACAAGGCCAUGUUUGAAGCGAAGCAGAGCUUGUCUCUCCCUCUCUACGCACCCCACAGUGGUUCCAAGCCCAGCUUUGGCACAUACCACAACAAGCACAAGAAAGCUAAAAAGGAGGCAUUCAAAGGAACGCAUAGCCAUAGUCAUUCAAAGGAGGCAGUCCUGCAAGUAACACUGGGCUUUUUUGUGGAUUCACACAACACCAAGCACUCAUAUAUAUAAUAUUAUCCAUCUGCCUUGUUUUUAUUUUUCCUUUUUGCUAAUUAUAUUAUCCAAAAAUAAAUUGAAGUAUUCAUUUUUUAUGGUAUGGUACAGAAUUUUCACACAUGGCUUCCUCCAUGUUGUUACCAAUUUUUCCAUAGGGCACUUCUAAUAUAUUUUUGGAAAAAUGAAUGGAUGAUCUAAUUUUAAUAUUAAUUCAACACAAGUGUAGGUGUCAUUUGAAUACUCUUCUUUUUUUGUGCUUUAAAAAACACAGAAUAAUAAUAAUUCCUAUUUAUGAAAAUUUUCAUUUUACCUUCAUAUUAGUGACCAAAAUAAUGAUGUUAAAAUUUUAAUGAAUUAACAUGAUUUCUUAAAUUGAAUUCUUAUUAUUGAAAAUCAAUAAGUAAUUUGAAAUAUAUAAAUAAAUUUAAUCCAAAAGUUAGAUUAUUGGAGUAAAAAAAUAAUUUAGGCUAAUAUUCUUCUAGAGGGAAAAUUACCUACAAUUUUUUUUCUUAUUAGACUAUACUAAACCUUGUUAAGUGUUAAUAAGAUAUACAAUGACAUUUUUUUCUAUUAUUUUUUAAUUAAAUUAUAAGAAAUUCAUUUAAAUUUUCCAUCCAAAAAAAGGAAACUUUCAUUUAAAUCAUUUUGUAGUUAAAUUAAAUAAUAUCAUAUUUAAACUUUUUCAUCCCAAUUCUUUUUUGUUUAGUGUUCACUCUACAUUGUAUAUACAAAUGUUUCAACAAUUAUCAAAAUUAUGUUUUUAAAAUUAUUUUCAAAAAUCUUCAAAAUAGAUUCAAUGGAAAUUUUUUCUAUCAAAAGGUCCCACCAUGUGGAAUUGUUCUUCUUAUGAAGACUUUGUGGUUGUGGAAUUUUUUUCAUUGCAUCCAUGUCUCAUCUAUACUAAUCAAAACCACUUUCAAAUGUGAAGCUUAAUUCAAAUACGAUAGGUAAAAUCAUUAAAUUAUUAGAUGAUUAUUCGGGUUGGAUAUAAAUAUCCUAUAAGUUUAGGGUUUUAUUUUCCUUAAAGAGUGGAUAGUGGACUAUGGUGGGUCUCACAAAUGAAAAAAGAAAUGGCAUAUGAAAGUACCUGUCUUGACACUUUUUCCACAUGUAUUGCUUUUCAGUUUCUAGUCAUCUUUAUAGACUUCAUAGGCUAAGGGCUCAGUCAAAUUUGAUGGGUGGGAAUAUGAAUCAUGUGCACUUUUAAAAAAGAAACCCUUGUAGAAUAAUUAAAAUGUCACACUUUCACACAAGUAUUAGCCUUUGAAAAUUAAAGGUAGUGUUCAUACCAUUUUUUCUUCAUUCAUUGAAAGGGAAAGUAAUGAGGUUAUAUUCAAAGAUCAUGACAUGAGGCCCCAAAUUAUCAUUCCAAAAUAGAACCUUAUGAUGUACAAUCCAAUCUCAUAUAAUCAAAAUUUACUUUCACUACACUCUAAAUUAAUUCCAUUCAUCUUAUAACACUUCUUAAUAUAAAGUUAACAAAUUUAUGAUAAUCUACUCAAAAAAAGUUGGGAUAUCUUCUAUCCUUUUCACAUGUACCAAAUUUCCAAAUCGAUGCUUUGACAUGAUACGACAUAUUUUUUUCCUUAAAAAAUAACAUGUUUUCUUAUUUAUUACUUAGUUAAGAAAUAAAAAGUGAAUUUUAAUGUAGAAAUAAAUAUUGCUUUUAUUAUAAAUUGAAUAUGUUAUAAAAAGAAAUGUACUUUUCUCUUAGUUUUAAAUUUUUUCUUGAAACAAUAAUUUAAAAAAUUCAUUUUCAUAUUGAUUAUUUAUUUAUUUUUAAAAAAAGAAAUAAUCAUUUAUGUUUCCAUAUUUAACGUUUUUUUCUUUUAGGAAAAGCACUACAAAUUAAUUGAUAAAUAAAAAAUUAAAAAUUUUUAAAUGAAAAUAAACAUUUUGUUUUAAUUCGAAAAAAAAAGAUUCAAAACAUAUUUUUGGAUUUUUAAAGAAAAAAAAAAUAACAUUUAGCUAUUUUUAUUUCCAUUAUUUUCAUUAAAAAUACUAAAAAAAAUUAGAGUAAAUUAAAAUUAAUAUUUGUCUUAUAUUUAUAUUUAUUUAUUUUCAUUAUGUUUGGAAAAUCGAUGGUGUCUUAUUAUUGUGAAUUGCAUGCAACAAAAAACUUAAUAUUAUUAAUUAUCAACACUUUGCUAAUCACGCUUUAUAUCAAUAAGCCCUAUUUAGAGGCUCUAGAAAACCCUAAAACAUGAAUAAAAUUAUGAAAAGGUAAACCUAACUAAUAUGGUAACUAAUUAGGAUUUUUAUUUCUUUCUUAAAACUAUUAGAUUACCUAAAAAUGAAAAGAAAUUAGAAACUUAGAGUUCGAAAACAAAAAAUAAUGGUAACCUAUAUAUAAAAUGUAGAAGCUCUUAAAUAAAAGUAUGGAUUUAUCUUAUAGUCUUAGAAAUCACAUCUAAAAAUUUAAAAAUUUAAGAUAGUAAAAUAUUUUUAAUACCUUCUCCAAGAUUUUUUUUUUUGGCAUUAAAUUUAUGUGGGAGUUAUUAUUAUUUUACUUUUAAAAAUUAAAAACAAGAAGUGUGUUGAUAUGACAUCUUACUUUUAAUAAUUAAAAACUUAAUUUAUAAAAAUGAAUUAUAAUUAAAUUUCUAAUAAAGAAGUCUUUUGGAUUUCAAGGACAAAAGAACUAUUUUAGAAUAUAGAGACUUUAUAACAUCUUUUAAGGAUAAUUCUAAAACUUCCUAAAUUUCAAAUAAAAAUCAAAUAUUAUAAUUAUAAUUAUUAUUAUUUAUGAGUAAAGCAAGAGAAUGCUAUGAACAAACAUUCAAAUACUAAUUAUGAUAAUUAUGCUUGUGGAAUUUUUUGUCAAUUGUAUCUACGUUCCAUCUAUACCAACUAAAACUGCUUUCUAAUGUGAAGGUUGAAAGUAGAAGUUGAUCAAUUAACAUGUGGUAGGUAAAAAUCGUUAAAUUAUUGAAUAAGUUAUUGACUAUGAGUCUUGGUCUAUUGGGGUCAACAAUUGCACCAACUAUGAAAUAGAAGAAUUAAUAAAACAAAAAGUAAUUCCAUGAUUGUCUUUUUUUUUUUUUUUUUUUAUUUUAAGUAUGGUCUUGAAAGAAAGAAUAUGAUAAAGCCAACUUCCCAUAUGAUGAAUUUCAAAACUUUUGGGUCCACUCAAUGGGCAAGGUUCAAACCUAACUUGUAGUAUAAGUCACAUUAUAGUAUCUUUUACGACUAAAUUUAUCUUUAUAUUUUUUAAGUCUAUGUCUGCUUGAUUAUUUCGAUUGGAUAUAGAUAUCCUAUGAGUUUAGGAUUUUAUCUUACUUAAAAAGUGGAUUGUUGACUUUGGUGGGUCACAUUAAGGAAAAAGAAAAUGCCCUCUUCAUCAAAACACUUUCUCCACAUGCUUUGCUUUUCCGUUUCUUGCUAUCUUUAGAGACUUUAGGGUAAGGUCUCGGUCAAAUUUGAUGGGUGGAAAUAUGAAUCAUGUGCACUUUUAAAAAAGAAGCCCUUGUAGAAUAAUUAAAAUGUCACACUUUCACAUUAGUAUUAGCCUUUGAAAAUGAAAGGUAGUGUUCAUACCAUUUUUUCUUCAUUCAUUGAAAGGGAAAGUAAUGAAGUUCCAUUCAAAGAUCAUGACAUGGGGCCCCAAAUUAUCAUUCCAAAAUACAACCCUUAUGAUGUACAAUCCAAUCUCAUAUAAUCAAAAUUUACUUCCUCUAAGAAAUAUACACACUACCCUGUGACACUCUAAACUAAUUUAAUCCAUCUUAUAAUACUUCUACUUCUUAAUAUAAUAUUAACAAAUUUAUAAUAAUUUACUCAAACAAGGAUUGUUCAUCUUCUAUCCUUUUUCACAUAUGUCAAAUUUCCAAAUCUAUGAUUUGACAUGAGAGAGCGUCAUUUUUUUUUGCUUAAAAAACAUGUUUUCAUUAUUUAUUACUUAGUUAAGAAAUAAAAGGUGAAUUUUAUUAUAGAAAUAAAUAUUACUUUUACAAUAAGACAGUGAAUCUAUGAAGUGUUUUUAGCCUUUUUAACAUUUGAAAUUUUUUAUUUUUCAAGUAUUAGAAAUGUCAAAAAUAUUUCUUAGAAUCACUACCAAACACACACUAAAUUGAGUAAACCAAAAAAUAAAUGUAUUUUUCUCUCAAUUUUGAAUUUAGAUAAUAUAAAAAAUUCUUUUUCAUGUUGAUUAUUUAAAAAAAAAAAGAAUUAAUCAUUUAUAUUUCCAUAUUUAACGCUCUUUCUCUUAGGAAAAUCACUAUAAAUUAAUUGAUGAAUAAAAAGCUAAAUUUAAAAUAGAAAAUAAACAGUUUGUUUUAUUUUGAAAAAAAAAAUGAAGAUUCAUAGUAUAUUGUUGAAAUAUAUUGAAUAGUAAUCUAAAUAGUAUAUAUUGAAGGUUCACUCAUGUCUUAUUGUUUAUUUAUUAUUUUUAACUAUAAUAUUUUUUUUUAUAUUUUUAAUUAUAUUUGAAUAAUAAAUUAUUCCCUUUUAAAUUAUUAAAAUAUUUUUAAAUAUGAAAAUUUAAGUUUGGCAUGGUUAAUAUUUAUUUUAAAUUAUUAAUUAAUAAUAUAUAUUUCAUAUUUUUUUAUUAUUUAAGAUUAAUUUAACUUUUUAUUAUGAUUUUAAAAUAAUAAAAAUUUGGAAAUUUGGAACUAGUUGUUUUACACGUCAGCACUCGCUUUGAUUUAAAAAUUUGGUGCAGGCGCCUUAAGGCCCAGUCGAAGCAUGAAGCCUCUAGCCCAUGGGCCCAGUCGGAGCCCAAUCCAAGCCUCAAUUAUGCACAGGCAGGAAAUAUAGCUUCUUAGUGGAUAUAUCACUCCUUUUAUAUGCUUCAUGAUUGAGAUUGGUUGCCACGUGUCAUCUGGCAGUGCUUUUCAUCCCAGUUUUGGGUCGGACAUAUUCAUAUAUGGUGAAUUUAGUGCGGGCCUGGGCCAUGUUCUGUUUGGGCUUUUCCUGCAUAACCUUAUUAAAAUAAAUAAGUACUGGUAGACCCCUUUCCUUUGAUGCUGAAAAUAUAUAUAUAUAAGUUAUUCACGAUCAUAGAACCAUGUUUCGUAAGUGAAACAUAUUAGUUGUCCGCUCUUAGAUUUGGCAAAAAGGAUCGAAGAAGGAUAAGGAUCUCAUCAACAACAAUUGCUUCAUUGAUGUUUCAUCAUUUCAAUUCUCAUCAUAUUCCCUCUACCUCUAAGAUGUUGUGCAUCUACACGUCAUAUGUUAGUCCCUCUGAUAAAAUUUACAUAUAUAAUCGAGAGAUAUAAGAUAUAAAGUUUUCAUGAUGGAAAAAUUGCAAGCUAGUACGAUGUUUGAAAAUAUUCAUAGUUUAAGGCAUAGUUUUUUUUUCCAUUACCAAUUAGGUUCAAUAUCAUGUUAUUAGUGUGGCGAAUUGCAAAUCACUAUUGAAAACAUCAUUUAUAUGUUAUAUGUAAAUCUAUGCAUGUAUAGGAAUGAAAAUUAAGGGGGACCCUUUUGAUUUAAGGUUGUCAUUUUUUUAUUAAGGCUCGAAAUGUUAAAUGAGUGUCAUACUAAUUUAGAAUGUUUGAGAUUGCUAGUUGUUAGAUUUGGUUUGGUAUUGAUACUGGUGUAUGCUUUUAUACUAUUAUUAAUAUUAUAGAAAUAGAAAAGAAUUUAAUUUAAAAUUAAAACAAAAUAAAAACUUAACUAAACUACUCAUUAAUCAUACCAAAAAAAUAAUUAAAAAAACUCUAAAUAGGACAACAAACUUCUAUUUAAACCAAUUUCAUCAAUCUAAAUAUUACCAAACUACCAUUGCCUUUCUUUAUCAUCAACAAAUGUUAUGAGUUCAUGUUUCAUCACUUUGGCUUAUAAAUGUUAUAUGCUACUAUUUUACUCUUUUCUUUCCGGACAUGUUUGCAUGUUUCCCAAAUAAUGAAAUGAAUGAGAAUUAUGCUUGUGAGUGUUUAGCUAGGUUGACAAUUUCAGACAAAAUUUCUAAGUGUCUCAUAACUCGAUUUUCUGAAUCCUUCCUUGAACUACUUGCCCAAUGAAGAUCAAGUGUAGAAAUUUCUUAAAGGCCAAGGUAUGUAGUUGAGGUUGUAGAUUGAUGAAAUUGAAUCAACCAAGUUUUUCAAAUUGCUAUUUUUCUUGAAAUAUAUUUUUAAAGUGUCAAGGAGGCAAAGACAACAAGUUUUUUCAACUAAGUGUUCAUGUGCCUUGUUCUAGGAUCGAUCUAGGUUUUGCUUGAUCUUUUCUUAGCCAUUGGAUCAAGGGCUUCUUUCCUUUUAAAACCAAAAUGCCUUCAAUUUAGGGUUAAGGAGACUAGCAACCAUUUUCACUCUCUUAAGCUCUCUCUCUUAAUCCAUUUAGAGAGUGUUUGGUUGCUAAGAAAAUCCUCAUUCACCUUGAUAUCAAAAACAUUUUCAAUUGGAUUUUCUUAAAAAUGGGUUAAUUCCAUAUCAUUCUUUCAUCUCUCAUUUUUUUUUAAUUUAUUUUGGUUUGGAUGAAAACCUAUUUUCUUCUUAUGUGGAUUCAAGAAGAGACUAAGAUCGAGCUUGGUAUGGACUCCAAGUGUGCUAUGUGUGAAGCUAAAAGUAGAAAUAUGCUAGUUAAGUGGUUCGGGAAGGAUUGGUAGACUUGAGUUAGGUAAAACCGUGUAUUAAGUUUUUAUUCUUUAUAAUGGAUGUCUUCAAUUGGUUGUAGUUUUACGGUUUUUUUUUUUUAUUUCUUUGAAUAUUUUUCACAUUCAAAUUGGGUGUCAUUGUCUCUUUCUCUCAUCUACUUUUUGAUUUAUUUGCAGUUAUUGAUAUCAUUUGUUACUUGAGCAUAUAUGUUAGAUGGAUGAAAAACAAAAAAUAAGUUGAAAUUUAUGUAAUUAUCUUUGAAUCUCUUGAAUAAUUUUGUUCAAUUUGAUAAAGAUAUCUAGUAGUAAUUGGAAAUGUGUUAAGGAUGUUAUGAAUUUGUGUUGGGGAGUGUUAAAGUAUUUUCAUGUAACUUGCAUUUACAAAUUGUUGGGAGAGUGUUGUUGUAUUCAUGCUUUCAUGUGAUUUUUAUUCAUUAUUGAAAAGAUUUUGAAUAGAGCAAUAUAAAGUCUCCUCCACUCCCCCCUCUAAAUGUAAUCCAUCAUUGAUAUUCACCCUCAAUGCUCAUUUUCUUCAUUACAUUUGUUUAUUUUGGCUUAGGAAUCAAAAUAUUGAGUUGGGUCUAUAAGGAUGUCAACAAUCCUAAGCCAUCGACACCGAGCAAUGUCUUGCUAACAUGCAUCCAUAUAUGUACAACUUCUAACUAGUGGACUGCUAUGAUCAGCUACAUAGAUUCUACUUGAUAGAAUAGCAUGCAUCGUUGGACAUAUAUGUAUAGGUCCGUAUUAUUUAGUUAGAUAAAUAUAAUUUUUUUUUUUACUUCUUCAAUUACUUUUGUGUGGAUUCUAAAAGCAAUUUAUAUAAAUAAAAAUUUCAUAUAUUCAUAUCCAGUUUUGUUAAUGUUUCCACAUAGAGUAACCUUAUGAAAUUGUUUUCUUAAUUUUCGGACUUACCCUAUCAACCAUCCAUGUAUAGUGUUUGAUAAAUCUCCUUGAUCAUUUGAGGGUAUAACACUUAGAGCAUGCUUAGCCUGAUUUUUUAAAACACUUCUAUUAUUAUAAAAAGUAUUUAGGUAUUUGCACUACAAUAAAUAUAAUGUUUUAUGAUAAAUUAAUUUGUGAUUAAAAAAUAGUAUUUUGUGGUAAAAGAUUUUUUUUCCAAAAAAAAUUUAUUUGUGGUGAGUUUAUUGCUACAAGUUCGUGAGUAGUUAUUUUUAACCAUAAAAUUUAAUUUUAUAGAAAAACCAAAUAAUUUUUCCACAAAAUAAAGUUUGUGUCAACAUGUCACUUUUCACCACAAAAUAAAAUUUGUUGUAACAUAUCAUUUUUCGCCAUAAAACAAGUUUAUAGCACCAUGUCAUUUUUUCUAUGAAAAUAAUCAUGGUACAAAGUCACUUUUUUGCCAUACAAAAAUUAUGGUGAAAAAUCACCCUUCCACCAUGAAAUAAAAUUUCUCGUGAAAUGUGUUUUAUAAGCUUUCAAAUUCAAAAUGAGAUUAAAUAUAACAAGCUUUAAGAGAAAUUUAACCGUAUUGUAUAAUCUUUUAACUCAUAAAUUUAAGGUUACUUUUGGUUCUUGGAAAAUAUUAAAGAAAGAAAAAAAUUAAAAUUAUGAAAAAUGAUUUUCUUAUGUUUGGUUAUCCUGUGAAAAAAAUCAAAUAUAGUUAAAAUAACUUAGAAACUUAUACAUUUUCAAAUAAUUUAAUCUUUAUAUUAGUGAGUUAAAAUAAGUAAAAUGAGUUUGAAUGAACAAAUAAAAAUAAUUCAUUGAUUUUUAAUCUUUUUUUUUUCCUCUACUUUUUUUUUUCUUAUGUUUAUCCUCCCUGUUUUCUUUCCCUCAUAUUUUCCCUCAAAUUUUCUAAAAAUCAAACAUAGCCUAAAGGAAUACUAUAUCACUCACUCAAACUAGUAGACCAAUUAAUCUAUACGAAAAAUUUGAAGGUAAAAGGAAAACUAUAACUUCUUGUGCUCCAUUAUAUUGGAAACUUGUGUAAAACCACAAGCAGGAUCAUCUAAGGUACACUUUACUAUGCCCACCUUCUCCUAUCACCAUUUCAAGGCUGAAAUCUCUAGUAAUUGCAAACUUCAACUCUGAUGAUGUGAACCUUUUGCUUUUAGAAGUAUCAACCUCUAGAAUAGUUUCUAUGCCAUGAAGUUGAGAAGCUACAUUGUCUUUGCAAUUUCCCGUCCAUUGUUCUCUGCUUCCCUGUUGUUGUUGAUGUUGAGGAAGAUGACAUGGUCAAUGACUUCUGAAAAUGAUGGGUGGUUCCUGGUUUAUUAAGGUACUUGUGUGUUGUAGAAGACGAGACAGUAGAUUGAAGCUUUUUCUUUUGCUUGUGAGUUCAAUCUUCCUUAGAAACUAAUGGAUUCUGGCUGCAUUUGUUGUUUUGGAAAAUGAUGUCCUUUAGGAUAAGAAUGUAGUUAUUUUGUUGAUUGAGAUCCUUCCUGUACAAUCUUCAAGAUCAGGAAAAGGACAUGAUAUCAGCAGCACAAACAUAAUGAACAACAUGUUAAGAUUUCCAAUCAGGAUCAAUAACUUUGAGUGAGUAGAAAUUUUAAAGUAUUAGCUUCUUACCCAAAUAAGGUCAGGAAUGAGGAAACCUUUGCAAUCUGCAAUGUAAGGAAAGCAACCCAAUCGAGAACAAGAAGCCCAAGUUCCAUCCAGUUUAAACAUUUUAAUACUGACCUAAGAUGGUUACAUAAAUCAGUUCUUGAAAACUUUGAAAUGAAAACCAGAUUUUCAUAGUAUACUCACCUCUAGUUCUUCAAAUUUCCUGGUGGCAUUUUGAGUGCCAUUACUUAGGCCACUAGGAAGAGGCUUGUACUCUACUUCCUUCGUACCAUUGCUUGACAGGAUGAAAAAGAUUUAGCAAUGAUUUUGGGGAGAAUAAAUAAUGGAAAAAGAAUCCUCUUUUGCCUGAUAGGCCAACUCACCAUUUGUUCCUAAACGCUUAGCAACCUCCUGUAACCAGAAACAAGUAAGAUUAUGGAAAUUAUUAAAUCAAUUGUGUUAGAAUAUAUUAGAGAAACACUUGGAAAGCACAUGAAAUUGAGCUUAUUUAUUCUGGUUUUUGGUACUCAUUUUAAAAAUACAAUAAACCCAAAGCAAAAGAAUGAUUUAAUUUCCAUGAGGUGCACAAACAAACUCUCAAUUCUAUGCAUACAACAUGCGAAUUUUAUAAUUACCUUUUCAUUAUGGUUUCUUUCUUCCAUGUUUCGACACCCUUUAUGAAUGCCUUUGUUGGUGUGCCUGCAAACUAUCAUAAUGAGUCAAGGGCACUCUUGGAGUCUCAGAUAUAUAUAUAGAAGAAUUGAAAUUCAGCUAAUUACCUAAGAAGAGAACAAUUAGCAAAAUUGUAACCAUCCAGUCAGCAACUGCAACAUUAAAAACAACCCCGAUGCUAAUGCCCAUCAUGAGCAUUGGUUGGAAGAGCAGCGCCAAAUCAUAGCAAAUGAUAGGCAUAUCAAGUGUAGGAUGCCUUAGCUUAAGAUUAUAGUAAACAGUUGAGCCUACUGCACCCAUAACCAUGCAUGACCAACAAAUAGAAUUUAUGACUUCCUCAAUUAUAAGAGAGCAGUUUCAUAUAACCAUGUAAAUGAGAUUUGCAAAGAGAUAUCCCUUGUCUUCAGCUAGCUAUUUAUUAAUUAGAUAAAACAGUUCUUAAAGCUAAAUCAAGGACAAUUGUCUCAGAGAAGCAAUGGUUGCUAAGCUUCAUGUUCAAGGUUCAAAGAAUUGAGGUCCCUUAAAAGUCAUGAACUCAACUCACAAAGCUGCUGGCAUGUCAGUGUAGUAAAUCAAUUCUCUUUUUAUUCUAAAAAAAUCGGUUGAUACUAGAAAAUCUAUGACAAUGAUCUCAAACCCAGUGCUUGAAAUAUGCAAAAUCAAGUACUGAGUCAACUAAAACAGCAGGCUAGAUUGGUGGUAUUUUAAAAAUAUUUCUUUUUAUCAUUUCCUUUAUUUUUACCACUUCCUAACCCCUGUCCCAAUGAGGUUUCUGAAUUUGGUUAGAAUGAAUUAUAGAUCUUUAACAGAACUCCUACCACAUGUAACAAAACUGCCACCACAUGUAACAAAACUGCCACCACCACCAACACCAAAUGUUGCUCCAAAGAAUCCAAUUAUGCUACAAUCAUCAAUUUGCCAGCCAAAUUUCAUUUCCCUUAAAGUCAAAUUUGCAAUGACAACAUUUAAAUUUUCCAAAAUAGCUUUUGAGUUUAGAACACAAUUAUUUAUGAAAGUCAAUCACAAAAGCCAACAAACUAUUCUAUACAAUUAACAAAAACUAAAAGUUUAAAACUAGAAUUCAUAUUAAUCUAUGGCAGGAAAACAAGAGAAACAAUAAAAAGGUAAUAGGAAAAUUGAAACUUUAUAUGUCCAUAGGUUUGGUCCCAAGCAAAGAAAUAAUAAAAUCUAUUGAGUAUUGCUAAGGUCAUCAGGUUAAGCAUACUUGAGAUUUUUAAUUUUUCUCUCCAACACAACAGUAUACUGCAUAGCUCUAAUAUUUUUCCUUUUCUUUUCCUCAAUUUAGCAACCAAUCAGGGGAAUAAGAAAACAAUAUUGUCCCAUUCUAAAUAAUGGCGAAGUGUGUAACACCAAUAAUCCACCUAAUAUCAGCAAAACAAAUAUUUAGAUAACAUGGUCUUACCAUGUCACACAUUCAUAUAAAUUACAUAUUUUCAUGCCAAAUUUUAUUAAUUCUUCAAUCAUUGUUAUAAGAGUUUUGUUUAGAUAAACAAAGAACAUUCAAAUCUUCAAAAUAACAUGGUCUUACCAUGUCACACAUUCAUAGAAAUUACAUAUUUUCAUGCUAAAUUUUAUUAAUUCUUCGAUCACUGUUAUUAGACUUUUGUUUAGAUAAACAGACAACAUUAAAAUCUUCAAAAUAAAAGGCAAAAGGGCCAAUAAUAUCAGUGUUUUAGCACAAUAACUCCCUAGUUUCUCCGCUAUCAUUAGGAGAGGUCAAUAGCAGACUCGAAAAUUGAGAUUAUAAAAUUCAUAGCAAAGCAGAGAAAGUAAAGAUUCAAAAACCUUGCUUUAACCCCUGGGGUUUCUGUUGCUAGAGGAAAUAUAAGUGAGAUAUAAAUGUUGUCUACAAUGGCCUCCUAUUGCAAAGCUUUUGUCAAUCCUAUGAGGCUAAACUUGCUAGUCGUGUAAGCUGUGUAACCAUAAAUGCCCACCCACAAAAAAAUCAUGACUCCAAAUGAAAAACCAAUAGAUAGAGAGUUGUUUUGGAAUCCUAAUAACCAUUGAAAUUUAACAUCUAAGAGCAAAAAAUUAAUGUGCUUUGAAUGUCAAAUAAGUCAAUUUUGAGGCAUUCCAUUUUAAAUUUAGGAGGUAAUAUUCAUUUCUAGUGCUGAAAAAAUUCACAGAAUGACAAAACGAAAGUUCAGAGCAGAAGGCAAUACGUUGAACUUUUGAAAAAGUAUUUCUGAAAACACAUCACACUUAUUCAAGUACAUGGUACCUGACUGGCCUACGAUGAUAUAAUGUCGAUCGACGUUGGUCCACGCUUCUUUCCAAUGCCUCAUCCUCGACAAAGGAGCCUUAAUAAAAUGAAAUGUCCCCAUUAGAUUCACAUCAAUCGUGAACCUAACCUCCUUCAAUUCCUGUUUUUCCAACUCUUGCAACAUAAACACUCCUUGAUUGCAGCUCUCGCGGCACAAACCCCAGCAAAGCAUCUCAAAAUUUUCAUUCAUGUUUCUUACAAUUUCUUAACAACCAAACAAAGAGCACGAAACCCAAAUUUUAUCCCGUAGAUGAAUUAAUAAUACCAGACAAGAACAAACACAUAAAUGAAAGAAAACUAGUACAUGUAUACAGUUGAAAUUUUCUUCUACAAAAUCUAUUUGGUUAUUGAAAAAUCAAAACGGAAAAUCGAUCGAUGGAACAAUUAAGAAGGUAGCUAAGCCCCAGAAUAAGCUAAGAGAACGUGAGCACUUCAUAUCUCUCCCUCUUUUAUGCGUAUAUAUAUAGAGAGAGAGAAGAAAACAAAAUAGAAAAAAACCAUUAUGAUUAAAUGAAUACAAAAUUCAUAUUAAAUUCUUAUGGAAAAUAUAAUGUAUUUCUUAUGGAAAAUAUAUAUAUAGAGAGAGAGAAGAAUACAAAAUAGAAAAAAAAAAUCCUUUUUGCAAUAAAAAUAAAUUUCGUUGCAAAAAUCUUCUUUUUUUCCAUAAAAAUUUAUUUGUGCCAACGAAAAUUAUGGUAGCAAAAUGUGAAAUUUGUUAUGGUGUUGGAAAAAUUCUAAAAAAACUUUUAAAAUGUUGAAAAAUAACUUGUAAUGCUUCCUAGAGAAACACUUAAUAGGUGAUUUUUCCAAAAACCUUUUUAAAAAAAACACAUCCACUAAAUACAAUUUGAAUAGAAGCACCAUCAAAAGCACUCUUAGUGUUUGUAGAACACUAAAAAUGUAGUAAUUUAGUUUUACAAAACCAGGCUUCUUGGAUUCUAAAAUCCAUGUAGCCGAAGGAAAUCUUACUAAUAUCCUAAGUCUUUCUAGUGCUUAAAAUUUUAUAUCUAAAUUACUUAUUAUUAGUUAUUUCAAAAGUAUAAUAACUAUAAUGAUAUUAUUAAUGGAUUUAUAUUAAGGUUUCAUUUGCGUAGGUUUCUGCCUUUUGAUUUUAAAGUCAAAGUUACAAUUUUUAAAAGGUAAUAUUUGUAUUGUAAAAUUUUAUUAAACAUAAAAGAAUUUUUUGCACAAGUGAAAAUAGAGCUUUUAUAAGAAGCAUCAUAUUCCUAGUUUUACUCUACCAUGUUUUCCAUCUAUUCUGAAAUUGUUCUCAAGAUGUAUAAAUAAUAGCAUUGCUAUGGGAGAGACCCUAUGGCUAUGUGUGAUUAAAAUGUGCUUUACAAACAUUUAUAGACCUUUGUGGAGAUGAAUGGGGCUUAAGCUCUCCCACCUUCACCUUUUUCUUUCUCUUGUUCCUCUGGUAGCUGUCACAAUAUGCUCCCAUCUUUACCUAGUCCCUCAUAUCACAUAGGUUCCUGAAUUUGUUAGGAACUUCAUGUUCUGAUGGGAUAAAGAUGGGGUCACCCCUAUAUCAUGGAUCCAAGGCCAUCCUAUAAUAAUUGUAAAGGGAUAGUUUGUCUAUUACCCAAAAUAGAGUUAGGCAAGUGGUUGGUCUUGUUGUUAUUGGUAAGGUGAUUUUCCUAAUAGGGACGUACACCAUCUAAGCCUACUAGUGGACAAAAGGGAGGGCAUAGCAAGAAGAAAUGUGAGCUAAUUAGGAAUCAACAAAAUUGAUGAGAAUGAGAUAUUUAUCCAAGCAUCAGUGAAACAACUUCCUAUGAGAAAGAUUUGGAGACCAUGAAGAAUGAGUUUCACAUUUAUAAGAGUUCUUUGUCUUUUUAGAGAGAAAAAAUAGGGAGAAUUAUAAUUAGAUUAUCAACAAGUUAAUGAUAAAUAUAGUGUUGUCUUUUAUUUUGUUUUAACCUUCAUGAAGAAAACCAAUUGGUUUUUGAGAGAAAUAUUUUAAGUAAAAAUAUUUUACACUAAUAUUCUUUGAUAUCUUUUUAGAAUAUUGUUAUGGGGAAUAAAAUCAAGAUAAUGAAUGAGUCCUAAAACAUGAAAAUGCAUUAUAUAUAAGGAAGAAUAAGUUGAUAUGCCCACAAAUAUCUAAACAAAAGAUAAAAUAAGUAUAUGAAGAAUAUAUAUAAUCAUCAAAAUAAAGUAAGAAACUUAUUACACUCCAACGAUAAUCAUAGAAUGAGGAGUUGAGAGGAUAGAGUUACUGAUAUCCAAGCAUCCAUUUCUUCCACGUUUGAUAAUACUCCACAACAUGCUAAAAUAUGAGAUGAAGCGGUGUUGAAUUCCUAAAACACAAAGUAAACGAUAAUAUUUACCAAUUUGAAAAAAAAUCUUUUUAAAUAGUUGCACGAAAGGAAAUUUUCAUUAGCAUUCUUGUUUUAAGAACUAGACAAGUACUCUUUGGUUUAUGCUUAAAAUGGUACCUUAAAUAUUGUUAUGUAUUUGAAUAAAAUUAAAGAAAUUGCAUUCAACAUUAUAAGAGGGACGGUUUUGUAAGAAAAUGUAAAAUAAUACAAAAGGUCAAUGUUAUGGCUAAUUAGUAUAUUAAAAUAUCCAAGAUUUUCCACUUAGGAAUAAAGACAAUCACCUCGGAUCUAACAUUAGGUGAUUUUUUCAUUCAUAAAUUUUAGCUUAUCAAAAUAAUAUAGAAGGUUAAUAAUUAAUUAACUAAAAGAAGUAAUAUGAAAAAUUCUAGUAAAAACCUACUUUUCUUUUAUAAUCAUUACCAUUCAAGAAUAAGCUAGUAAUGUUUUUUAUAAACAAGAAAAAGGUGGAGAGAGAGAGAGAGAGAGAGAAAGAGUUGUACCAUUUAACUUUGAAGACUCCUCCAUAGUCGAGCCAUAUUUAUUGUUGUAGUCACAUAGAGCCAAUCUUUUAUUUUGUUCAAAAAUUGGAAAUAGGCAUAUCGCCAUGAAUUGUUGAGUAGUAGAGUUCCACACACUCCCCAAAAUCCAACUAUGAAUCCAAGAGCAAUGCUAACAUAAAACCACAUGUCAUUUCCAUCUUGUUGAAUGUCGUCUUCAUAGCUAUAAGCAUUGGGAGUUCCUUCUACUUUAUCUCCUGGGCACUUUUUCAAAAGAGGCGGUCCACAAAGUGUAGGAUUUCCCUCAUAAGAAGAAGUAUUGAAACUUUGAAGUUGAGUACCUCAUGGAAUCUUACCAGACAAGUUGUUGUAAGAGAGGUCUAAGGUACUCAAACGAUCUAUUUCUGAAAGGCCACUUGGAAUUUCACCAAUAAGUUGAUUUUGAGACAAAUCAAGAACGUCUAAUGAUUUCAAUUGACCAAUUGUUGUAGGGAUCAAUCCAGUCAAAUUGUUUCUUGAAAAGUUCAAUGAAACCAAUUCUAGAAGAUCUGUUACUUCUUUUGGAAUCUCCCCAGUUAUUUUGUUGCUUGAAAGAUCAAUACUCUUUACUAAUCCAAGAGUAUUCUUAUACUCAAAUUCUCUCCCUUUCCAUUUAACCAAUUCGCUAUCAACAUAGGACCAAGGUGCAUCACUCAGAAAUGAAUUAUGAAGUGAAUCAUAAUUAUAUGCAAUGGUCAAAUUCCCUUUCUUAGUCAUGGCAGUGAAAUUGCUAAGACAUCUUGGUAUACUACCCAAGAUAUUGUUACUAGAGAGGUCCAAUAUUUGAAUUUUUUUCAAUUGACAUAGCUCUAAACUUAUACUUCCACUAAAAUUAUUAGAUCGUAGGUUUAGAACCAUCAAAUUUGGAAGGUUUCCUCCUAUCCAUGGGGGUAUUUUUCCGGAUAACCCAUUUUUUGCCAAAUCAAUAAAGCUCAAACAUUUGCAUUUCUUUAAAGAUGAAGGCAAUUCUCCUAUCAAAUUGUUGUUGCGUAAAUGUAGUGUUUGAAUCGAUUGCAUGGAGCCAAAUGAUUUUGGAAUUUUCCCAUAAAAUUGAUUAUUUUCCAAAUUUAGAACUGUCAAGCUUUUCCAUUGUUUCUGACAAUGAGGCAGCACUCCUGAUAACAAGUUGUUUGAGAGGUCAAGAUACACCAGAUAUGACUUAGAAACUGUACACAAUAAGGAAAUGGACCCCGAAAACUUGUUAUUGGAGAGAUCCAACAAUGCCAGGUCAGAAGGAAGUUGUGGUAUUGAACCCUCCAAAUAAUUUGAGCUCAUAUCUAUGUAAAGGGGCUGAUCAAAUUUUGAUGUUAAAUUGGGUAAGUUCCCUAUGAUCUGAUUGUUGGAAAUAUUAAAGGUAUAAAUAGGGGAAGUUAAAUUCCAAAACCAGUUUGGGAUGACAUCUGAAAUGUUAGAAUUGGAGAUAUCAAGGUCUUUCAACUGCUUUUGAGUUCGAAGCCAACUAGGAAAAUGAGGUCCCAAUUGGCAGGAGGUUAAUGCUAGAGAAAAUAGCUGAAAAGGAGGAACCCACUCCAAGCUCAUGUUGAAAGUGAGAGAGUUGGAGGAUAAGUCUAAAGUGUGCAAGUCAGAUAGAUGAAAGAGAUGAGCCUCAGAGAUGACACCUUGCAAUGAAUUUGAACCAAUAUCCAACCAUUGAAGUUUGGUAAGGUGUCCAAUACUUGUAGGCAAUGUUCCAUUUAGCUGAUUAUAACCAAGAUAUAACACUCUCAAGGAUGAAAAUCCAAUGAGAUCAGGAACUGAUCCUGUGAAUUGGUUAUAUGAUAAAUACAAAAUCUCUAAUGUGUCAUUUGCACAAGCCAGCAAGUCUUGUGGAAGCUGUCCACUGAGAUUGUUGCUUUGCAAAGCUAACUUUUGUAAAUGGCAUAAAUUGCUCAAGGAUUUUGGAAUCUCACCUUCAAGUUUAUUGUCAUGGAGAUAGAGUUCUUCAAGAGAAGCCAUGUUCCCAACUGUAUCUGGAAUUGAACCCUGAAGUUGAUUGGAGGAGAGAUCAAAAUAUGUAAGUGAACUCAUGUUUCCAAAUGCGUCUGGAAUUGAACCCUGCAGCUGAUUCUGAGAAAUAUCAAGAUAUUCAAGGGAACUCAUGUUCCCAAAUGCCUCUGGAAUAGAACCAUUUAAAUCAGCAUUCAAAGAGAGAUCAAAAUGAAUAAGGGUGGUAGGAAAGUUGAAUAGCCAUGAGUAUAUUGAAGAAGUGAGAUCAUUCCAAGAGAGAUCAAGGAAAGCAAGAGGGGCAGAGAAAUUAACAGGGGAAAGAGACGGAGUGGUGAGGGGAGGGAGGCUACAGUGUCGUAAGUUUAAGUGAAUAAGAGAAGGGAGUUUAUUAAUUGCUUGUGACCAGUGGAUGGCUUUACUAAGGUUAACAGAAUUCAGGUCAAGGUGUCUUAAAGACGAAAGAUGAGAAAGCCACUCAAGAUUUCCAGAAUGCAAAUGAUAAUUACCACUGAGAUCAAGGGAAAGCAAGUUGGAAAGAUUUCCGAAUUGGCUGGGAAGACGUCCAGUGAAAUUGGCAUCAGAGAGAAUGAGGUAUUGGAUUUUGGGGAGAGAAGCAAGGAAUGGAGGUAUGGAACUCCCUUCAAAAUCAUUAAAGCUGAGAUCCAAAUGGGUCAAGAGCUCCAAUUCAAGCAGUGAAGGACUUAUCUCACCUCUCAGACUACCUUCCUGAAGAUAAAGCCCAACCACCUGACCAGUAUGGUUGCUACACUGGACUCCUUUCCAUUGGCAACAAUCUCUUGUGUCCCAAGAAGACAAAAUGCCAUAGUCAUCCACAAGGCCGUGUUUGAAGCGAAGCAGAGCUUCUCUCUCCCUUUCUAUGCACCCCACAGUGUUUCCAAGCUCAGCUUUGGCACAUACCACCACAAGCACAAGACAGCUAAAAAGGAGGCGUUCAAAGAA
rnacentral:lncRNA from 1 species